rnacentral:lncRNA from 1 species
AGCUUUGUGAAUGCCCUGUAGGGCCAGGUUAAUAUUUUAAAACAAACAAGAAUCACUGGGCCAAUGAAAUCACAGCUGAAGGCAUUUUCAUAAAACCAAAUAGCUCAGGAUCCGGCUUAAUUUUGAUGAUAAUGUGGAGGCCAGACUUUAGCAUACUGUUUAUUCAAAGACAACUUUAUCUAUCCAGAUCUGGAAGAGUUUUAAAAGAGCAGCUGAACUAAUUUGCCUCAGACUUUCUAUAUUAUUACAAACAUUGUAUCAGAGCUAAAUUGUGUUUUUUGUUCAUGCCUAUAUUCGAGGUUAAAUUUAUUCAGGAUAUGUUAUAGCUAUGAAAAUAAAAAGGAGAUGUUAAUGGAGAGCAGAAGGAUCCUAGUAAAGAAUUCAUGAACAAAAUGUUGCAGUGUUUCCCAGAGCAUGUUCCAUAGAGCAUGAGUUCUGAAGUAUGCUAAUAGUGCCAUGCAAGGAAAAUAAAAGUUGCAUGUUUAAGUAUAUUUAUAGAAUCCUAGGUUUUAGUAAAACAGAUUGAUUAAUUUCUCAGAAUCUUCAACACACCAUGGUGAACAAGGCUUCUCUAAGCAGGUCCUCAAACGUAUUUGACCAGUGACACACUUAGAAAAUGCUGAUGUAUCAUGUGGAAAGUGUCACAUAGAAGAGGGCAGAUUCAAAACUAUUGCAAAUCCCUGUAACUAGAAUUAGAUUCUGUUAUUGUCCCACAGUAUUUUUUUCUGUGUUAAAGCAUUCUUGCAAAAUAAUUUAUUUAUUUUUUUGACAUUAGCAUCGAUUUCUUUCCUUAGACUGUGGUCUUUAACAUAGCGCAUUUGAACCACCUGGGGAUCUUGUUACAAUGCAGAUUUUGGUUUAGAAGUUCUGGGGUGGAGCCCGAAAUUCUGUAUUUCUAGCAAUUCCAGGGAAAUGCCUGUACUGCUGGUCCAUGGACCACAGUGUGAAUAGCAAGGGUCUAUGUAGUUGAGACCAUAUGUUUUUAAGGUUGUAUAGCUAUGAACUGCCAGUCUUAUGCUUUUCAUAUCAUUUAUUCAAUAAAUGCUUGUUGAAUUGGAUUAAAACUGAAAU